rnacentral:rRNA from 1 species
CCUACGGGAGGCAGCAGUAGGGAAUAUUGCUCAAUGGGGGAAACCCUGAAGCAGCAACGCCGCGUGGAGGAUGAAGGUUUUCGGAUUGUAAACCUCUGUCAGCAGGGAAGAACGGUCACUGUGCUAAUCAGCAGUGAAUUGACGGUACCUGCAAAGGAAGCACCGGCUAACUCCGUGCCAGCAGCCGCGGUAAUACGGAGGGUGCGAGCGUUAAUCGGAGUUACUGGGCGUAAAGCGCUCGUAGGCGGUAUGUCAAGUCAAGGGUGAAAUCCCCGCGCUCAACGUGGGAACUGCCUUUGAAACUGGCAAACUGGAGUGUGUGAGAGGAUAGUGGAAUUCCAGGUGUAGGAGUGAAAUCCGUAGAUAUCUGGAGGAACAUCAGUGGCGAAGGCGACUAUCUGGCACAUAACUGACGCUGAGGAGCGAAAGCGUGGGUAGCAAACAGGAUUAGAUACCCUUGUAGUC